rnacentral:lncRNA from 1 species
CCUCUCUGAUUCAGAGGGGUUGGGUUAAAUGACUCCCGCACCUCUCUGAUUCAGAGGGGUUGGGUUAAAUGACUCCCGCACCGCUCUGAUUCAGAGGCGUUGGGUUAAAAGCGGAAGACACAUUUCGGUUGAGUGAAUUGUUGGGCAAAUGACUAGUUACCCCCUUUCCUUCCUGUUAGUAGAGGGGGGAAAACCUGAGUAUUACAAUCAAACCUGCUCUUGUCAUAAAUAAAAGUGCACAUUGUUUUGGUUGAAGAAACAAGAGGCCUAAUCCUGGAGUCAUAUUUCUGCAGUUUCUAACGUUCUGUCCAACACCGCUGAGCUACGAGUGCAUGUGGUUAAAACUGUCAGACGCAUGCAAACGCUCUGGGCCCAUAUUAACAAAGCGUGAGUAGGAGUGCUAGUCUAGGAUCCGGUCCCCCCUCUAAUUCAUAAUGGUUUAAAAGGUCUGGUCCCCCCUCCUAAUUCAUAAUGGUUUAAAAGGUCUGGUCCCCCCUCUAAUUCAUAAUGGUUUAAAAGGUCUGGUCCCCCCUCUAAUUCAUAAUGGUUUAAAAGGUCUGGUCCCCCCUCUAAUUCAUAAUGGUUUAAAAGGUCUGGUCCCCCCUCCUAAUUCAUAAUGGUUUAAAAGGUCUGGUCCCCCCUCCUAAUUCAUAAUGGUUUAAAAGGUCUGGUCCCCCCUCCUAAUUCAUAAUGGUUUAAAAGGUCUGGUCCCCCCUCUAAUUCAUAAUGGUUUAAAAGGUCUGGUCCCCCCUCUAAUUCAUAAUGGUUUAAAAGGUCUGGUCCCCCCUCUAAUUCAUAAUGGUUUAAAAGGUCUGGUCCCCCCUCUAAUUCAUAAUGGUUUAAAAGGUCUGGUCCCCCCUCCUAAUUCAUAAUGGUUUAAAAGGUCUGGUCCCCCCUCUAAUUCAUAAUGGUUUAAAAGGUCUGGUCCCCCCUCUAAUUCAUAAUGGUUUAAAAGGUCUGGUCCCCCCUCCUAAUUCAUAAUGGUUUAAAAGGUCUGGUCCCCCCUCCUAAUUCAUAAUGGUUUUAAAGGUCUGGUCCCCCCUCCUAAUUCAUAAUGGUUUAAAAGGCUAAACUGAUCUCAGAUCAGUACUCUGACACUGUGGAUAAGGGCCCUGUGCUCCUUUCAGCUCCUGCGUGUCCAGUUUGUCAUUAGGCCAAUAUUUAAUACCGAUAUACUACCAUGGUGUAGCUAUGACGACUUCACUAUGCAAAGCAAUGAGUUUAUUACUUUUGUUUUUGUUACUGCUGGUCACUCUUCCUCAACUGCUCCCUCCAAAAAAUGUCUUGCUCUCUCCAUCACAGAAGAAUAAGCUUCUCAACAUAUCAAUGUAUGGCUGCUAAACUCAACUGCUCACAUAAUUGAUUUGUGAAACUGGAAACAACCUGUAGAACUUACUCUGGCUGUCAUAACGUGAAGACAUCCUGUACUAGUCUGUGCUCUGUUUGAAAUAGAACCGCUUUAAAACGACUGCAGUGUAAAUGCCUAUAAUACAUUAGGUCUACCUGAACACAUUUUAAACGUUCUGCAAAAGUCUAAUGAAAUAAAUGAAUGGAAAUCUGUUUGUUGCUUUUCACUUUAUUUUUUCAUGAUAAAGUUAGAAUAAAAACAUCUUAUCAGCCUGAUAAGUCUCUUCCACAAAGUGAGACUCGAUCAUAAAUAAUAAACUUGUUUUGUAAUAAGUUAAGGUACUGUAUAUUCAUACAUUUAUGGAUAUUUAAGUCAUUUAUCUCUUAUCAAAGAGCUAAUCUCGGGGUAACCCAGAACUGAAGUCUGCUCGAUUAAAUUCUAGGUCCAUGAGAUGCUAGAACGAGGAGCUCCAUCCUCUCUGCAAGUUAUGGGCUGAAUGACUGCCCUUCCAAAAUUUGAAAAAAAUGCUAACACCUCGGAAGUUGUGAUUUGUCCAAAUAACCAGUGAUGGAAAAAACUAGGCACCAGAACUAUAGCUGCUCGUUAUCUAUCAGUGCUCAGAAUAGAAAGAUCUAUUGCACCAUUUUAUGUUUACAUAUUCUGCCUAUGAGAGAUUAUCAAAGAACAGGUUAUAAUGUGCUACAAAAAUACUGCAUAUAAUAGCUUUUCAAUAUAGCUUUUUCAGUAUAGAGACAGUCAUUAGAUGACAAAUCUAUACUCGCAAGGCCACAAUCAGACCAAAUACACAUAAUAUACAAAGUGUAUAAAACAUUAGGAAUAGCUGCUCUUUCCAUGACAGACUGACUAGGUGAAUGCUGUGAUCCCUUAUUGAUGUCACCUGUUAAAUCCAAAACCCACUUCACGUGGAGGAGACUGGUUAAAGAAGGAUUUUUAAGCCUUGAGACAAUUGAGGGAAGAAGAUAUUUACGCCGGUGUGGCCAUGAGGUGAGUGUGUAAGAUGGUGGACGGGGGGAAAAAUGUGAAAAGUGGAACAUGUUUUCAGUGAAUAUGGAGUGGUGGAUCACAGAACUUUUGGAAGAGCUAUAGAAGAAACUUGAACGUGACAUGAGAGUGAGGAUGAAUUAACCUCAAUGGCAGGUGCCGUGAAGACCGAGUUUGAGCCUUGUCCUGAUGAUUCUGACCCAGUGGGAGUGUGAAUUUUGGAGACUGGAUCCUUGCCUUCUGGCUGAUCCAUAUGUUGUGUCAGGUUGAGUAAUGUUGGGUCGGUAAAAGUGACUAAUUGGCCCGCUUGCAUUUCUGCAAGAGGGCGUGUGCGCUCCGCACCACACCAAUGGGAACAACAACACUGGCUUGGCCUGAAGUUGAAGAUUCCCGGUGUCUGUGACGCCCAACGUUUGGUGCGAUGCGGACCCAGUGGAGAGCGUGGUGAAACAGAAUACCCUGUCUGUACUAUGAGUUUUGAUGCAGAGUCUUUAACAGAUAAAGUCAAGUUAGGAUGUGUCGAGGAGGGAGGGGUGCAACUCAAUAUUUUGAAGGCGUUCCUAAUGUUUUGUACACUGUAUAUUAUAUUAUUACAACCAGGCAUCAGCUAAUUACAGCUUUUCAAAUAAAAUCUCACUUGUUAGGUUUCUAUCCAACUGGCGACAGAUUUUCAUGUGAAAAUUUUACAAUCCGUAUAAAAAAUAAGUGAGUGAUGACGUAGUGCACACAAAACGUACUGAAUAAAAAUCACAAACUAUUGUGUUAGAUAGGAAAUGUGCCUACUCUGGUCUUGGCACCUGUGACCUAGUCCACAUCUCCUAUAUACAUUGUGGGUAGGCUGUGCAGGUUGGCUAUCUACAUGAGAUUAUUAUGGAUCAGAGACAGAGUUUUUGGAUUUGUCAAACGGCAGUCACGCAUCGAUCCCCAUGUCACCAGAUUAAGAUCCUCGAUAUUUAUUGGAAAGCAGCAUCAAGCUUAUCAUCGUGCACUUCAUAACUUAUUUCAUCUGUAGCCUAAUGAACUGUGUGGUUUCCUGAGUUGUAGUGUCACACACUAUAUCAUCGCGUGACUCCAAAUGUACUUUGAUAUGGUUAUUAUAUCAAUAUUUGAUAAAGACAUUUCCACUACUAUUUACCACAUAAUACAUUUUACUGACACAAAAUCCCACCAUGCAGAACCAACAAAUUAUCUGUCAGCAUUUACAAAAUUACACCGAAACCUGUUUCCAUCACAGCUGUCGUGAUAAUUGUAUUUCAUACGAUAUGACUUCACUCAAAUAAAACUGGACGGAAAUGUGGUUACUAUGGUAAUAUUGCUACGUUUCACUUUAACCAUGCUAACAAUUUAAAAUGUCAGCUUAAAAUGGUGACAAAUGUUUCCCUACAAUCAGUGUCGUUAGGCAUAAAAUCAGCAUUUUUUUUAUGUAUUAAUUGCAUGGUGAUUCACAUUUUCGAUCAUUUAAAAACUACUACAUGAUAAAGUACAGUCAACAACAGGCACUUGGCCCUACAAACAUUGAUUAAUUCAAGACCACUUCACAUAAUGGCACUUUACCCUCAAGCCAUGUCCUGUCCACACACACACACACACACACACACAUCACCUGGAAACAAGUUACAUAUGGUGUACCCUGGUCCCAGAUCUGUUUGUGCGGUCUUGCCAACUCCUACGAUCGAUGUUUAGCUUGACAGUGACCAUAGGAGUUGGCAAGACAGCAUAAACAGAUCUGGGAUCAGGCUACAUAUGGAAUGAACAGAGAUAGAAUGUGACAUUGGUUGAACAAGUGAUCCUCAUCCAACUACAAUAUGUUGUACUAAGUGGCAUGGUCUUAUAUAGGCACAGAGAUACUGCUAUGGUUUGGACCAAAGAGUUGAGUUCCAUUUAAAUUGUGGUAAACUAAUCCAUCUGUUCCCAGAGUGGAUUCUAGGCUUUCCCAACAACCGUUUCAUUUUGGGGGAAGAGUUUUUUGGACAGAAAUGCCUGAAUGUGAGGCCAGAUCUUGUUGGUUUCCGUUCCUGAGAAUGUCUCCAACAUCCCUUUGCUCCUGUUGGUAGAAACAGAUAUUAGUACCUCAUGACAGUCAUCAUAAUAAACAUAAGCAGUAGUUUUUAAAUGGGUAGGUACUCCCUGAUUGUCUCCAGUAACAACACAUAUUUCCGCAUUCCAUUGCAAAAUGUUUUGCUACAGUCUGGUCUACUGAAUACAACCUAGUACUCAACUACAUAAUGCUUUCAAGGUUACCAACAUAGAUUCACUUUCUAACAAAGGGAAAGAUGUGAAUGAAUUCACUGUCUGAUCUGUCUGAGCCUGAAUCCUGCGUUACAGUCCCAAGCUAUUUCAGUUCUCAGACCGGCCCCUGUAGUAGGGUUAAUUCAGAGUUCUCUUCCCGUUGUCCAGUUACCAGUGAAAAAGAGCCCCAGAAGCCAUCUUAUAAAUAACUUGGAUGCUUUUAACAUCCUAUGUACACAGGAGCUCUUGACUAAUGUUUUCCUUCUUUAAUUGGCCACAGAAAUAGAUGUGAUAUGAAUCAAUCCUGACAUUCAGUCAUGCACAAUGUCUAAUUGAGAUUAAUGUCCAUUUGUUAUGUCCCAACUUUGAAAGGGCAGAUAUAAGCCUUAAAGCCUAUGAUGUAAGAAGAUAAACUGCAACAUUAUUACACAGUUACAGCUUACAUAAUAAUGAAUAUAAAAGGUAUAUAUGUGUGUGUGUGUGUGUGUGUGUGUGUGUGUGUGUGUGUGU